UAAGCGGAGGAAAAGAAAACAAUAGUGAUGCCUCUAGUAACGGCGAGUGAAGCAGGCAAAGCCCAACUUUAAAAUCUGGCGCUUUCAGCGUCCGAGUUGUAGUCUCGAGAAGCAUGGCUCGUGUCGGUCCGCGUCAAACUGGUUCGGAUGCCAGGUCAUAGAGGGUGACAAUCCCGUUGGCAACGCGGCCUCCCGAUGCAUCAGCAGUCUGCUCUCCAAGAGUCGAGUUGUUUGGGAAUGCAGCUCUAAUUAGGUGGUAAAUUCCAUCCAAGGCUAAAUAUCGGCGGGAGACCGAUAGCGAACAAGUACCGUGAGGGAAAGAUGAAAAGCACUUUGGAAAGAGAAUGAAAGAGUAUGUGAAAUUGCUGGAAGGGAAACGCUUGAAGUCAGAUACGCGCGGGGGUAUUCAGCCUGGUUCGCCGGGUGCAUUUGCCCUCAUUGCGCGCCAGCAUCGGUUCGUGGGGCCGCAGCAGCGCGGUGGGAAUGUGGCCGCCUCCGGGCGGUGUUAAGCCCGCCGUCGUGGUCGGACCCGUGGACCGAGGAUCGCAGCGCGCCGCAAGGCAGCCCUCGAGGGGGCAGAGCGCUUAGGAUGCUGGCGGAAUGGCUUUAAACGACCCGUCUUGAAACACG
rnacentral:rRNA from 1 species